rnacentral:rRNA from 1 species
UACGUAGGGCGCAAGCGUUGUCCGGAAUUAUUGGGCGUAAAGAGCUCGUAGGCGGCUUGUCGCGUCGGUUGUGAAAGCCCGGGGCUUAACCCCGGGUCUGCAGUCGAUACGGGCAGGCUAGAGUGUGGUAGGGGAGAUCGGAAUUCCUGGUGUAGCGGUGAAAUGCGCAGAUAUCAGGAGGAACACCGGUGGCGAAGGCGGAUCUCUGGGCAGUAACUGACGCUGAGGAGCGAAAGCGUGGGGAGCGAACAGG